CGACGCCAUUAUUCCAGCGUCUCUUACUCUCUCCCAAACCUUGAAAUCAAGCAAAUUUUUUUAAAAUUGGUUUCAAUGGUUGUUCAAUCCUUCAAUUUCUUCUCAUCAUUUAUCAUCACCACUGUUUCUCCUCUCUAUGCUUAUGUUCUUCUACGGUGUUCAUACGAAUUCUUCGGGUUUCCAUCAAUGUUGGCUGAGGUGCAAUUGGAAGUUGGAGUUCCAAGUCGAUCUCGAGCAGAAAAGGAAAAACAAGAAGGAGCAAAGUUGAUUCCACGUUUUAUUGUUCUAUGCUCAAGUAUUUACAUUCAAAGUUUAGUAGACUAAUGUUUGGCUUCUCUUUAGAGAUCUCAAUUAUUGAAGACUUACUUUUUUUUCAUUUCAUUUUAUUGAUGUAUAUAUAUAUGUUUCGCCGGGGGCCUUGAAAAACUUAGGACCGGCCCUGCCAUCCAGCCACGAAACGGCGGCCCUCUGUUCGCAUUCGGGUCCUAUUCUCAGUGCCGACCUUCCUCUGGUGUUACUUGUCCAGCCGACAACCUGGGGAGGAGAAUUGAAGAUAGGAAGCUGCUUCGGUGUAUCAGGCGGAUUUCUUGCAUUUUCCGGCGACUCUGGUCGUUGUUUCCUGCAAAUGAGGUACGAAAUUGCAUGUACUCGACGAGCUCUACAUGUCUAUAUGCUUGCAUGUCGAUAUCGGUUAAGAUUUGGAAAAUUGGUGUUUUAGGCGUACACGGCCACCAUCGGGGUUACUGUGAAUGGCAGUGGUUUGGAUAUCCGCUGAAGCAGUUAGAUCAUGGUUUAUGUAUAUAAUCUAUAUUGAGACUUGGUUUUGCUUAAAUCACAGGAAUCACGAAAUGGGAUAAGAACUUUGAAAUUUGACCAAAUCUGUUGUUCAGCGAGAGUUCAGUUCAAUUAUGAAGGUCAACAUGUUGCAGAGUUCAGAUUGUGCUCCAAUGAGGAUAUGAACCCAUUAUCGAUAGAGAUUCUUGAGGAAGAACUUGUGAAGUAGGAUGGAGACAAUGGCAUUGGGUCUUCUCUGUUCGAGUAAUAAAGAAGAGUAAUUCAUUGUCUGCAUGCUUUGCAAUGCUGAAUGUGCAUUAAGAACCUUGGGAAGCUCAAAUCAGAGAUUGGAUGAGGAUUUGUCUUGAUGGUUCUCAAUAAAGGACUUCUGUAAUCCGAAAUGUGAAAUUUGGUGGUGUUGGCCUAAGGAAUCGAUGGAAUCAAAGCUGCAAUAUUUCAGGUACUGUGCACGUGAACGGGACAAUAUUGGAAUGAGCUGGGUGGUCCAAACAAGUUAUUUUAUGUAUAACUUAUUUGUAAUAUUUUUCAGGUUCCGAUUUCUUGCACUUUUAAAUAUAAUUCAAUAUAUCAUACUUUACUUUGGAUGUU